UACGUAGGGUGCGAGCGUUUUCCGGAAUUACUGGGCGUAAAGAGCUCGUAGGUGGUUUGUCGCGUUGUCCGUGAAAACUCACAACUCAAUUGUGGGCGUGCGGGCGAUACGGGCAGACUGGAGUACUGCAGGGGAGACUGGAAUUCCUGGUGUAGCGGUGGAAUGCGCAGAUAUCAGGAGGAACACCGGUGGCGAAGGCGGGUCUCUGGGCAGUAACUGACGCUGAGGAGCGAAAGCGUGGGGAGCGAACAGG
rnacentral:rRNA from 1 species